UCAAACGCGAAGAACCCGCGGAGAGGCGCAGCGCGGUGAGACGGCCCAGCGAGCAGCGCGACAACAGCUGGCGACGACGGCUGCAACAAUGUCUUCCUCCUCGGCGGUCGUCGAUCUGAACGUGGGCGGUACCACGUACAGCGCUUCGCGCGAGACGCUGUCCCGCUGCCCCGUGCUAGGCGAGCUGCUCGACGGCGGCCCGCGUGACUCGCAGGGCCGCGUCUUCGUUGACAGGGACGGUGCCCUGUUCCGCUUCAUCUUGGACUUCCUCCGGUCGGGCCGCCUGCUGCUUCCCGAGGAGUUCCGCGAACUGGCAAGGCUCAAGGCCGAGGCCGAGCACUUCCGCCUCGAUGCCCUGGUCACCUGCCUGUCGGCCACGUCGGACGUGCCGCCACCGUUCCCGGGUCAGCCGGGCUAUAUCACUCUCGGCUACCGCGGGACGUUCGCGUUCGGCCGCGACGGUCUGGCGGACGUCAAGUUCCGCAAGCUGACGCGCAUCCUCAUCUGCGGCAAGGUCACCAUGUGCCGCGAAGUGUUCGGCGACACGCUGAACGAGUCUCGCGAUCCCGACCGCGGCCAGGACGACCGGUACACGUCGCGCUUCUUCCUCAAGCACAACUCCCUGGAGCAGGCGUUCGACUGCCUCCAGGAGUCGCGGUUCCGCUGCGUGUGCGCCUGCGGCACCGGCACCUCGUGCGGAGGCGGGAACGAGCCGCUCAAGCCGGGCGUCGACUCCGAGGAGAACCGCUGGAACCACUACAACGAGUUUGUGUUUGUGCGCCCCUAAGGAACACAGGAGAGAGUGUCCAGGAGCGAAGGGGUGCUGCGCAGUUGGGUCACAGUGACGGCGCCAGCCGAUUUCCCGACCAACGGAGCAUAUCAUUUGUCUUCUAGAGACAGCGCCGCCUGUUGCGCCUUCCACGGUCACCAGCGCGUGGUGCAAUGACGGAUGGCUGUUGUUUCAUGCUUUGUCGUGCGGAUACUAUUCCGUCGAACGCGAUAUUUUAUGGCCUUUGAUUCCAAAAAUAGGUGGUUGAUCGAGUGAUUCGCAUCAGUGGCGUAACCAGGAUUCAGUUAAACGGACGGUCUUUCAGCCUGCCCUGAUGGUUUUCAACGACCUAAGUCUCCUUCUUAUUUUUUAGCAGGGAUUGCUAAUGUUAUCGUGAAUACUCUAGCACAGAAAUGCAAUCUCUGGCUGCGCCACUGAUCAGCGUAUCGAUUGCUCUUAAACAGGAGUCUUUAAGAUAACGUAGCACUCAUAGUUCCCACAAAACGUGCGUAAUUUACGGAACCAGUGGCUUUUUAGUUGUUUCAUUUACGUCAUUUGUCAGUAGAAUAGGGCGAUUAUGGUAGAUAUUUGUGUGCAAACCUACCGCCACUAUGUUUUCGUGUGACGUGAUUCAGUUGAACGUGUACAGAGAAGUGAAGUGUGGUCGGAGUAUUUCCUCGGAGAUUAGCUGUUGCCAAAUGUAUAAUAACGUGGGUUUUAGUGUGCUUCAACCUGACGUCCCAAGACAGGAUGCACCAUGUUUAACAUUCUGGCAGUUGAUACUUUCGUCAGCACUGUGUUGAAGUACCACACUCAGAAAUAAAAUUCAUGAACUGUACGCCUCUGUCAGAACUUUCAAGCCUUCUCUGCCACCUUUCUAAUGCAAGAUAAUUCUGAAUGCUGUGAAACUUGCGGGUGACGUAGCGGCAGUUUUUCCAUGUCUGUGUUAGGAUUACAUAUUUUUUUCGGUAAGGUGUAUGUCUUCGGGCUUGUGCUCAGCAUUGGCACUGAGUGAUUGCUGGGAUGGAGGCAACACGGAGGUUCGCGCUGGUACUCUCUCAACAAUGAGGGUUGUUGUAUUUCAUUCAAAACUGAUGUUUUCGUGUCAUUUCAGCUGUUCGCUUUAUCCACAUAUAUUGAGCAAAACAUUUUGCUUUCUGGUCAAAAGAGAGCGUUUAGCAUGCUGCUUAUCUCUAUAUACAGCCACCAGCGUAAUCAUUGUGAAUAACGGAUUCCUAACUUUAUCUUCAAAGCAUCUGAAAUGCUCAUUUCACAGCAUCCUUGAGACUUCUCCAAAGUACGCGCUUAGAAGAGUGUCUUACAAAACUGCUAGUUGGUACAACAGCAGCGGGCCUUUACAUGCUUGUUGAAAGGGAUUCAGUACGUCUGUAGCAGUAGUUUUAUUGUAAUACAUCACAACGUAUUGCCUAACAUACGUAUCCGCCACUCAUUAGAUUACCUAUUAGCAUUCCUAGUUUCGAAAUCAGAUGGCGAUCCACGAAGUGUGCAAACCUUUCUUUUUUUUUACGAAAACAACUCCCUUUUUUGUUUUUUGAUGUUUUGUAGCCGAAGAAAAGAAGGAGGGGAUAAACAAAAAUCGAGAAUAACGAAACGUACUUGCUAACAAUUAUUUCAGAGGAAUUCGCAGAAGUAACGGAGCUCUUCGAUUCUCUCUUGUACUAACAGUGCACAUAACUACGCACUGCCGCGAACAAAUCGUACGAGAAACCUGUCGGUAAUGUAAGCAUUACUCCAUAUGAUGUUCAGGUCUUACUUUUUUUUUUUGCUUGUUUUAUGAAACACCUGUCUCUUCUCUCCCUCGUUGUACGUAAGGAAUGUUUGUUAUCAAACUCGAAUAGUUGUUAACUGUAAGGAAAGGUUGUUAACCGUCGAUAUGAAUCAACCAGUCCUUCAAAGCGUUAUCUUCAAAUAUAUAUCUUAGACAUCUGUGUCCUUCGCCGUACACCCUCAGCCCUUAAGAAGAAGGAACUAGCCCUUCAAUAUGUAAAUGUUGAUAUGCACUUUAAUGAUAUUCUGGGGAUGUUAUCCCAGCUGAUUGCUUGGCAUGUUUCUUCAUUUUAUGGAUGAUAAUUAUGACAGACACAUUGAUGAAGUUCUUUUUCUGAAGUGUGUAAAGGUCAUUCCUUUGGUCAUUCAUAUUAACUUUACAAAAGUAUUUCGCAUUUUUACUUAAGGGCAGGAAGCAACUGCAGCUUUUGCCAUAAAGGGUUUGUUGCUACCCUUUUCGAGACUUCUUGUUUUGUUACGCCACCAGUGGUGCUAAACAUCCGAAUGUUUUGUUCAUUUUUGUAUGUCGUAUUGCGACCUGUUCGUUUCGUAAAUUAAACUGCUACCAAUAUUUUUGGUUCGUUAGUUUCAAAACAUAGCAGUUCUCAAUAACUAUUCUAUCCGCCAUGGUGGUCUAGCGGUUAUGGUGCUCGACUGCUGACCCGAAGGUCGCGGGAUCGAAUCCCGGCCGCGGCGGCCGCAUUUUCGAUGGAGGCGAAAAUGCUUGAGGCCCGUGUACUUAGAUUUAGGUGCACGUUAAAGAACCCCAGGUGGUCGAAAUUUCCGGAGCCCUCCACUACGGCGUCUCUCAUAAUCAUAUCGUGGUUUUGGGACGUUAAACCCCAGAUAUUAUUAUUAUU